CCUGUAGCAGUGGCCAGUGUGAUGAUACGUGGCAAAGACUGUUUUCCCUUGGUGGGAAGCAAGCUGCAGGGUGAUAACUCUACAGAAAAUGCUGUGUUCUCUCUGGGUCAUGUGAGAAUCCUCUUUGGCAUGAGCUUCUGAGAGCUGCUGUGGGCAUGCCCAGUCGUUUGCCUAACUUCCAGCUGUGGAUGCUGUACACCUACAAAAGGCAAUUGCACCUUCAGCUGAGGGCAUGGAAGAGGGGUUGAAAGAUGCUGCUGUAACUGGCAGGUUCUCCCAGCUGUGUGUCCUUCUGGCACCUGUAUGUGGGUGUGAUGGGGAUUGAAGGGAUAAAACCCAGCAAUUGGCAAGGCUGCUGCAAGCUGUUUCGAGGAGGUGGCAACAAUCAUCACCAGGAAGGCAGCCCAUCUCAGAUCCAUGUCCUCUUGCGGCUCAGGACAGCCCUGUCAUGGAUAAAGUCUUCUGCAUGUUCUUUUAGACUUUUGCAGGAGCCUUAUGAAGAAACUGCAACGUCUCAGCAAGAAACUGAUUUUGCAUGAGAUACAAGCUUCAGAGAGCCUGUAAGCCCUGAGCUCCUGCCAAUCCACUGGGAAUGAGUCCAGAGGGUACUGUUUGGGCAGCCAUGGAGCGCAAGAGAGUGUUCAGCUGUAGAUGUGAUAUGAAUUGUCCCUGCAGUUUAUUCUUACAUGGUUGGAGGGUGAAUGAGUUUGGAAGUGUUGGAGACAAUCAGAGAAUUAGCAGAAUGAAAUAUUAUUAUGCAUUAUUUAUAAAAAAAGAGAGAAAUAU
rnacentral:lncRNA from 1 species